UCUUUAUUUAGGAAACGGUGGGUAGAUUAAACGUGAUCCGUUAAUCCUGUGGCUACAGGGUAGCGUAUAGACCAAAACACAAAUCUAUCCAUGCAAGCAUUUUACCGUCAGUGUGAACUGGCGGUUUUUUUGCCUGCAUUACGACAAGAAGGCCCCUCGCGGCGUAUCGGCGCGAGGGGCCUGUUUAGUGGGGGAUUAUCUCCGUUCAUUAGUCG
rnacentral:sRNA from 1 species